GAUGAACGCUGGCGGCGUGCCUAAUACAUGCAAGUCGAGCGAACAGAUGAGGAGCUUGCUCCUUUGACGUUAGCGGCGGACGGGUGAGUAACACGUGGAUAACCUACUUAUAAGACUGGGAUAAUUUCGGGAAACCGGAGCUAAUACCGGAUAAUAUAUUGAACCGCAUGGUUCAAUAGUGAAAGACGGUUUUGCUGUCACUUAUAGAUGGUUCCGCGCCGCAUUAGCUAGUUGGUAAGGUAACGGCUUACCAAGGCAACGAUGCGUAGCCGACCUGAGAGGGUGAUCGGCCACACUGGAACUGAGACACGGUCCAGACUCCUACGGGAGGCAGCAGUAGGGAAUCUUCCGCAAUGGGCGAAAGCCUGACGGAGCAACGCCGCGUGAGUGAUGAAGGUCUUCGGAUCGUAAAGCUCUGUUAUUAGGGAAGAACAAAUGUGUAAGGAACUAUGCACGGCUUGACGGUACCUAAUCAGAAAGCAACGGCUAACUACGUG
rnacentral:rRNA from 1 species